rnacentral:SRP_RNA from 1 species
CGGCAGGUCUUACACGACCAGCUCCUGCUGAACUCCCCCAGGGUCGGAAGGCAGCAAGGGUAGGCGGUUGUAGCGGUGCGAUGUGAGUAAUCUGCCGGUU